GGAGGGGAGGGCAGGGCUGGGCUGGGGUGGGGUGGUCGACGGAGAGAUUGGGGAACCUGGAAUAAUCCAUUCCCAAUUCUCCAAUCUCUUCCCUCCCUUCCCUUCGUCAAUCUCCAGCUCUCAUCCAGCAGCAACAGGAGGAGAACGCAGGAUCCUGUGUAUGCCUCCUCCAAAACGAACAGCAACAAACAGCAAGGGGGCAGAGGGAUACGCAUGUGUGUUCAUGGAUCAUGGUUCCCCACUUAGCUCCUGAUGCGCCAGCCUCGUCACCGCAGAUUGAUUGAUCGAUUGAUUACUAGCUAGUCCAUUCACAUUGACAAAGAGCGCCUCCUUCAAUUUGAUGGGCAUUCCGUUGACAUCUCAACUCCAACGCCAACAGUUGAUGCUAGUAUGGUUGGAAAUAGGACAUGGUUUGGAGGGCUCUUCAACAGCUCAGGCAAAAGGCGACAAGUCAGUGCAGAGAAGUUAGUGCUUGAUCUGACCCCUCUUCAGGAACAGAGAUUGCAAAAAUUGAAGGAAAGGCUAAAUGUACCUUAUGAUGAAACUCGGCCGGAACAUCAGGUAAGAAACGGC